AGGGGCAGCGGGGUAGUGCUUGCACUACUGCCGGCGACCGGCGCACGGGUGAGUAACACGUAUGGAACCUGCCCGCAGCAGGGGGAUAAGCGGAAGAAAUUCCGUCUAAUACCGCGUAACAACGUUGGGAGGCAUCUCCCGAUGUUUAAAGAUUUAUCGGCUGCGGAUGGCCAUGCGGCGCAUUAGCUAGUCGGCGGGGUAACGGCCCACCGAGGCGACGAUGCGUAGGGGUUCUGAGAGGAAGGUCCCCCACACUGGUACUGAGACACGGACCAGACUCCUACGGGAGGCAGCAGUGAGGAAUAUUGGUCAAUGGCCGAGAGGCUGAACCAGCCAAGUCGCGUGAGGGAAGACGGCCCUACGGGUUGUAAACCUCUUUUGUCGGGGAGCAAAGCGAACCACGUGUGGUUCAUUGAGAGUACCCGAAGAAAAAGCAUCGGCUAACUCCGUGCCAGCAGCCGCGGUAAUACGGAGGAUGCGAGCGUUAUCCGGAUUUAUUGGGUUUAAAGGGUGCGCAGGCGGAGGUGCAAGUCAGCGGUCAAAUUGCGGGGCUCAACCCCGUACUGCCGUUGAAACUGCAUCCCUUGAGUGCGCGAGAAGUAUGCGGAAUGCGUGGUGUAGCGGUGAAAUGCAUAGAUAUCACGCAGAACUCCGAUUGCGAAGGCAGCAUACCGGCGCGCAACUGACGCUCAUGCACGAAAGCGUGGGUAUCCCACAAAAGUUAGAUACCCUNNUAGUCCACGCANUAAACGACCCCCAUAGGGAGUUCGGCCAGAAUGAUGGCUGAGUGGGUACAGGAAAAGCGUUAAGUGUUCCACCUGGGGAGUACGCCGGCAACGGUGAAACUCAAAGGAAUUGACGGGGGCCCGCACAAGCGGAGGAACAUGUGGUUUAAUUCGAUGAUACGCGAGGAACCUUACCCGGGCUCAAACGACACAGGAAUACUUUUGAAAGGAGGUAGCCCUACGGGGUCUGUGUCGAGGUGCUGCAUGGUUGUCGUCAGCUCGUGCCGUGAGGUGUCGGCUUAAGUGCCAUAACGAGCGCAACCCCUAUCGCCAGUUACCAUCAAGUAAAGUUGGGGACUCUGGCGAGACUGCCGGCGCAAGCUGAGAGGAAGGCGGGGAUGACGUCAAAUCAGCACGGCCCUUACGUCCGGGGCGACACACGUGUUACAAUGGCAGGUACAGAGAGAAGCCAGGUGGCGACACCGCGCGGAACUCGAAAGCCUGUCUCAGUUCGGAUCGGAGUCUGCAACCCGACUCCGUGAAGCUGGAUUCGCUAGUAAUCGC
rnacentral:rRNA from 1 species